AUACAUGCAGUCGAGCGAUGGUUAAGAGCUUGCUCUUAUGAAGUUAGCGGCGGCGGGUGAGUUACACGUGGGUAACUGCCCAUAAGACUGGGAUAACUCCGGGAAACCGUGGCUUAUACCGGAUAACAUUUUGAACCGCAUGGCGGUAAUGAAGGCGGCUUCACUGUCACUUAUGGAUGGCCCGCGUCGAUUAGUAGUUGGUGAGGUACGCUCACAAGGCAACGAUGCGUAGCGAACUGAGAGGUGAUCGGCCACACUUGGACUAGACCGCCCAAACCCUACGGAUGCAGCAGUAGGGAACUUCCGCUAAGGACGAAAGUCUGACGGAGAACGCCGCGUGAGUGAUGAAGGCUUUCGGGUCGUAAACUCUGUUGUUAGGGAAGAACAAGUGCUAGUGGAAUAAGCUGGCACUUGACGGUAACUAACCAGAAAACCACGCCAACUACGUCCCAGCAGCCGCGGUAAUACGUAGGUGGCAAGCGUUAUCCGGAAUUAUUGGGCGUAAAGCGCGCGCAGGUGGUUUCUUAAGUCUGAUGUGAAAACCCACGGCUCAACCGUGGAGGGUCAUUGGAAACUGGGAGACUUGAGUGCAGAAGAGGAAAGUGGAAUUCCAUGUGUAGCGGUGAAAUGCGUAGAGAUAUGGAGGAACACCAGUGGCGAAGGCGACUUUCUGGUCUGUAACUGACACUGAGGCG
rnacentral:rRNA from 2 species